rnacentral:misc_RNA from 1 species
CCCAAAGGUCCGCUCAGCCCGGUUGGCAAUCGGGUGGCGAGUGCAAGUGCACAAGCGGGCUUGACUGCGAGGACGACGGUCCGAGCAGGGACGAAAGUCGGGACUAGU